rnacentral:lncRNA from 1 species
UCACUGCUCGCCUCGGCCGCCAGCUGAUCCGCCACAACACGCGAGGCCCCGCCCCUGCGACGGUGCCACGUUCUCUUAUCUUCGGCAGGGAUUAUACGUGUCCAUGAACUUCAACACUUGUUGCAGUUGCCUAAUGCCUGCAACAUCAAUCAACACUGCCCUGCCAGUACCUCAAGUUGAGUUCAUUUAUCCUUGCUGUUUACAUUUGUUUAGGAUAUUCCAUGUCCCUUUAUUUCGUUUUCUUGUUAAUCUAAGUCGUUGAUGAUAUAUGAAUCAACACGAUUCUGAAUAUUUCCUCCGUUGUUUGCAUGUGUUCAAUGAUUAUAAGAAAAUCGUUCCUGUUUCCUAGCGUGCUACUACUCUUAAUGAUAAUCCUGCAUUUUCGCAUGCAGCUAGUCUCAUUUCCCAGAGGGAAAUAUAUUCUAUGAUCUAUUUACCUACAUUUUCAUAGGAACAUAUGUUGUCCUAUGCUCUUGCACAUGAAUUAUACAUGCUGUUUUCAUGGAGAAUCAUUCCUGCAGUUUGCAUUAAAUUCUACAACCUUCAAUCUUUCAGAUGAAUGUUGCAAUUAACACUCUAUUCUAAAUCCUUGACAUGUUGCUUCCAGUCGUUUCCUAAUCGUUUAGAGUUCGUGUUGAUAUUGUAACUCCCUGAGAUAUAGCAUUAUGUGUUCUGUUGCGAAGACAUGGUACUGUUGUUUCCGUAUGUUGUCCUCAGAGCCAGACGCCCUGUGUUGAAGCCCAUUGCCGACCUUGACUCUCGGAUCACCACAUCGCUCCCCUCGCCGCCGAUCCCUGGUGCGCCAAAUCUCGCUCACCCCGUUAAUGAGCCUAUCUGGCGGAUGCCCUCGCUCCCGCAUCACCUGCCGAUGCCGGUCUGUCUUCUACUGUACGUCGCUGCAACUCCGGUCGUGUUAUUCUGCUGACAUCACCGCCGCCUGACGUACUCGCCGCAUCUUGCCUCCCUCACACCUGUUUCCCUGUGCUGGUGACCCUGUCGAACUUCAUGACACCAUCGCCAUGCUGUUUCCUUCUCUCACGAAAUGAAGAAUCCUUAUCACUGACGACGAGACCUACGAAGACCUCGUUCUCAAGAUUCUCAGCUCAAUCCUCGUCUCCUCAUAACUUGGUCUCCCAUGAUUUUUUAGACCAGUGUGCAUGUCACUUACAACUGACAUGGCACUUGACAAGUUAACUGUGUAUUCCAGUAAUCCUGUGGAACGAUUGACGAGCUCCGUAACUGAUCACCACUACUGCUUCCGCCAAGACCACCUGCGCUUCAGAACAAUGACCUGUGUGAACAAUCCCAAGGCCACCGACCUUAGGAAUCACCUUUUUGACCUCAUCUGCAAGGACCGAGACUCCUUGCAUCACCGCCGUCGAGAGUUCAUCUUUAGCAUCACUCACCGCAGCUAGAUCGAGGACAAUCCUCACCCUUCCCUUCCGACGGUACAGAGCACUCUAUUGGUUAUCACCUAUGACAACUUGGACCUGCGCCCACAACUGAACGCCAUUAACAAAAUGCGUCCAGAGCAAGCAAUUCCAACCCUUACCAUCACUCUCGCUGAUCACCUUAUAACUAUGUAUACUUAUAUAUUGAUUAUACUAAAAAUAUUUGUUAGAAAAUGCUAAUUCUGAUUCACUGUUUGUAAUCAUUAUUAUGUCGAUACUGUAGUUCUCAAAUGUUCAUGAUUUAAUUGUACCAACAUAUUCAGUGUCCCUGUCCAAGCAAGUGACCACAGGAACCUAUGAAUGCCAUAAAACAGAGAGUCUACAUAACACUCCUAUUGAAGA